rnacentral:rRNA from 1 species
AUGAGCUCGCGUCCGAUUAGCUAGUUGGUAGGGUAAGGGCCUACCAAGGCGACGAUCAGUAGCUGGUUUGAGAGGACGAUCAGCCACACUGGGACUGAGACACGGCCCAUACUCCUACGGGAGGCAGCAGUGGGGAAUUUUCCGCAAUGGGCGCAAGCCUGACGGAGCAAUACCGGGUGAGGGAUGAAGGCCUGUGGGUUGUAAACCUCUUUUCUCAAGGAAGAAGUUCUGACGGUACUUGAGGAAUAAGCAUCGGCUAACUCUGUGCCAGCAGCCGCGGUAAUACAGAGGAUGCAAGCGUUAUCCGGAAUUAUUGGGCAUAAAGCGUCUGUAGGUUGUUUGGUAAGUCUGCUGUUAAAGACUAGGGCUUAACCCUAAAAAAGCAGUGGAAACUGCUAUACUUGAGUGUGGUAGAGGUAGAGGGAAUUCCUAGUGUAGCGGUGAAAUGCGUAUAUAUUAGGAAGAACACCAAUGGCGAAAGCACUUUACUGGGCCAUAACUGACACUGAGAGACGACAG